rnacentral:lncRNA from 1 species
CAUAAACCGGCCCUCAGCAUGUAGUAUACUAUAUUGAGGAGUCGCGGGAAGGAAAUGGGUGUCCCUUCUGCCCCCAUUGGCUCCGCCAUCGCACCGCCCCAUGGCGACGUCAUCGCGUGCCGUUGUAUAAGAAGGCUAUGGUAUUGUUCUGCCGUGGAAAGAACGCCGACGAAGAGUCAUCCGCGCGCUUCUGCAGUGUCCCGGCUCCCAACUGGUCGGCUAACUCACCUCUCCGUUUCUGUCCAUGCACCAUAGAGCCGUCCGGGAGCAUCUCUCGCGGGCUCGACUGAAACCCAGGACGUCCUGCAGCGACAGCCUGGGGCCUUCAAGUCCCCGAGCUCGCAGCCACCCACGGAAAAUGCCAGAAGAGAAAGCUUCUCGAGUACAGGAACAUUUCCGUAUCAUGUGGAAUCUGCAACAUCGCCACCACGAUGACUACUUCCCGACUGCACUAAAAAAAAAGGGGCAGUGACUGGGCUAAGAUGUCGCGACCCUCCGUUAUUCGCAAUUUCAAAUGACCUGCAUAAGCUGCAUCAUUAAUGUCACAUAAUUCUCACUUAUAUAAUUAUUCUUCUUAGCGGUGCAAUUCAAAGGUUAAAGCAGUCGCGAAAGGUGCUGAUUAUAAGUGGACGGUCGAGCUGUUUCGCGCAUCUGAGACAUAAAUUCGAUAAACAAUUUUAGUUGUCUGAUUAAGGUUUCCGUUAAUACA